GAUGAACGCUGGCGGCGUGCUUAACACAUGCAAGUCGAACGGAAAGGCUCCUGCUUGCAGGGGUACUCGAGUGGCGAACGGGUGAGUAACACGUGGGUGAUCUGCCCUGCACUUCGGGAUAAGCCUGGGAAACUGGGUCUAAUACCGGAUAGGACGAUGGUUUGGAUGCCAUUGUGGAAAGUUUUUCGGUGUGGGAUGAGCUCGCGGCCUAUCAGCUUGUUGGUGGGGUAAUGGCCUACCAAGGCGUCGACCGGUAGCCGGCCUGAGAGGGUGUACGGCCACAUUGGGACUGAGAUACGGCCCAGACUCCUACGGGAGGCAGCAGUGGGGAAUAUUGCACAAUGGGCGCAAGCCUGAUGCGGCGACGCCGCGUGGGGGAUGACGGCCUUCGGGUUGUAAACUCCUUUCGCUAGGGACGAAGCGCAAGUGACGGUACCUGGAGAAGAAGCACCGGCUAACUACGUG
rnacentral:rRNA from 1 species